AAGAUGGCGACCGGCGCACGGGUGAGUAACACGUAUCCAACCUGCCGAUAACUCCGGAAUAGCCUUUCGAAAGAAAGAUUAAUACCGGAUGGCAUACGAAUAUCGCAUGAUAUUUUUAUUUAAAGAAUUUCGGUUAUCGAUGGGGAUGCGUUCCAUUAGUUUGUUGGCGGGGUAACGGCCCACCAAGACUACGAUGGAUAGGGGUUCUGAGAGGAAGGUCCCCCACCAUUGGAACUGAGACACGGUCCAAACUCCUACGGGAGGCAGCAUG
rnacentral:rRNA from 1 species